GGAUGUGAAGACAAUGUGGCUGCAACAUCCGUCACCCCAUUGAUUGCCAGGGUUGAUUUGGCUGAUCUGGCUGGCUAGGCUGGUGUCCCCUUCCUCUCUCACUGCUCCCUGUGCGUCCCUCCUGAAGCUGCGCACUCGGUCAAAGAAGAAAACCUUCCGCCGUUGAGGAGGACCAUUCUUCAGUCAAAGGUAUACGAGUAGCUGCUCUCCCUACUGGAACCUCCAAACAAACUCUCAAGAAUAACUUUUGUAGGAUGAUGAGCAGUGAAAACUGCAUUACAGUGAUUGU
rnacentral:snRNA from 1 species